rnacentral:rRNA from 1 species
GACGAACGCUGGCGGCGUGCUUAACACAUGCAAGUCGAACGGAAAGGCCCUGCUUUUGUGGGGUGCUCGAGUGGCGAACGGGUGAGUAACACGUGAGUAACCUGCCCUUGACUUUGGGAUAACUUCAGGAAACUGGGGCUAAUACCGGAUAGGAGCUCCUGCUGCAUGGUGGGGGUUGGAAAGUUUCGGCGGUUGGGGAUGGACUCGCGGCUUAUCAGCUUGUUGGUGGGGUAGUGGCUUACCAAGGCUUUGACGGGUAGCCGGCCUGAGAGGGUGACCGGCCACAUUGGGCCUGAGAUACGGACCAGACUCCUACGGGAGGCAGCAGUGGGGAAUAUGGCACAAUGGGCGGAAGCCUGAUGCAGCAACGCCGCGUGCGGGAUGACGGCCUUCGGGUUGUAAACCGCUUUCGCCUGUGACGAAGCGUGAGUGACGGUAAUGGGUAAAGAAGCACCGGCUAACUACGUG